UGUAAACAUCCUUGACUGGAAGCUGUAAGGCGUUGCAAGGAGCUUUCAGUCGGAUGUUUACAGC
rnacentral:pre_miRNA from 1 species